rnacentral:rRNA from 1 species
GUGGGGCAGCGCGGGUAGCAAUACCUGGCGGCGACCGGCAAACGGGUGAGGAACAUGUACGCAACCUUCCUUUAACUGGAGAAUAGCCCCUCGAAAGAGGGAUUAAUACUCCGUAACAUUCCGACACAGCAUUGUGUUGGAAUUAUAGCUCCGGCGGUUAAAGAUGGGCGUGCACCUGAUUAGAUAGUUGGCGGGGUAACGGCCCACCAAGUCUGCGAUCAGUAACUGGUGUGAGAGCACGACCAGUCACACGGGCACUGAGACACGGGUCCGACUCCUACGGGAGGCAGCAGUAAGGAAUAUUGGUCAAUGGACGCAAGUCUGAACCAGCCAUGCCGCGUGGAGGAUUAAGGCCCUCUGGGUUGUAAACUCCUUUUAUCUGGGAAGAAAUGUUUCGAUUCUUCGGAACUUGACGGUACCAGAGGAAUAAGCACCGGCUAACUCCGUGCCAGCAGCCGCGGUAAUACGGAGGGUGCAAGCGUUAUCCGGAUUCACUGGGUUUAAAGGGUGCGUAGGCGGGCAGGUAAGUCAGUGGUGAAAUCUCCGAGCUUAACUCGGAAACUGCCGUUGAUACUAUUUGUCUUGAAUACUGUGGAGGUAAGCGGAAUAUGUCAUGUAGCGGUGAAAUGCUUAGAUAUGACAUAGAACACCAAUUGCGAAGGCAGCUUACUACACAGCGAUUGACGCUGAGGCACGAAAGCGUGGGGAUCAAACAGGAUUAGAUACCCUGGUAGUCCACGCCCUANACGAUGAUUACUCGACAUACGCGANACACUGUGUGUGUCUGAGCGAAAGCAUUAAGUAAUCCACCUGGGAAGUACGUUCGCAAG